AUAGAGGACACAUUAGCCUUCUGUAAAUUAUGAAUUUGUUUGCUUUUUUCGUUUGACCUUAACCUUUAUGUACAUGUCCAUGAGAGUUUCCCAGUUUCUGAGCUGUGGUUAUUAGCCAAGAAGACGGUUCGCCAGGAACUCUAGGUCAUUUCAAUAGAAGUUGAUGCGCCUAAUCCUUCCCGGAGCAAUUCCAUUAACCGUGCUGUUCAACAGAGACAGCAGGCAGAUUAUUGCCUGGUAGAACAUUUGAAUCCUUCUAGAAUGAAAAUCAGAUGUGGAUUUGGAGCGAAGUCCAGAGCCAGACGCAAGCUUAGAAUCAAGAGCCAGAAUCACGAGAAGAGGUGGACCGGGAGAACAGCCCUCAUAAUUUAGAAACAGGAAGGAAUGCUGCCACAGGUGACUUUCCAUCAAAGGCGAUCUCAUUUUUAGCUCGCACCACCCGUCUUGCAAUUUCUGCCGUUCGUCCAAAUCAGACGGAAGCGUGGCGUGAGAGAGGUAAUGAAGAAAUACAAGAGUGGAUGUGGAGCAAGAACACUUAAAUCUGCUCUCUUCUGGUGGAGCAAACAACAUAAAUAUCCCCUGAAUUUCAGGGCCUGGUGAAUGAGUACGCUGACACAGUCUAGUGCUAGGGUACGAUUCUGCAAUUUCAUUUAAGGGAUGCAACAUGAUUAUGGAUGUUAUACGCGGUACCGAUACAAUUGUAUUUUAUUGUGCCCGCACUGUUUUUGUUCCAGGGGUUUAAUGGAAGUCAGUUUAAUUAGGAACAGCAUGGCUGAGCUGGAGCCAUUGCAACAUUUUUGCGCUCUGGUGGACUUUAUGUAGCGCCUCACCAUGUGAGAUAUAGAAAUAGAGGGGGCAAGGAAGUAAAAUCAAAUAUAUUUGGAAGUAUCUUUUUUCCUUACUAUUGUCUUAAUAGUACUAAUUUUUCAUCAACACAGUUUUGACAUAGAAUGUCCUUUGAGUCAAAUAUUUUGCUUGAAUAGAAUAUUCCCUUUGAAGUUCAUUGAAAGUAUCUGGGUUUUAUACUGACUUGCCUUAACAAUGACAUCAAAAAUACCACACAAACUGACAUUAAGAAACUUUUAUUCACUGUUGCUGUUAUUGCUGUUUAAGUGAAAAAGAAAAUCUCUAACUAUUUGCAGGCAUUAGAGUCCCUCCAAACGUUUUAACAGACUUGUGCAGAUGUUUUGAUGUGAAAUCAAUAUGUUUAUUCUUGCUUUGACCAACUGGAUUAAAAAAAACAUAACAGAGUGAAUAAAUUAAGUGGUCAUUUUGGUUUCUUCAUCUCCUGAUGGUACAGCAAUCAGGAUCCAUAUUGACUUGGCUAGCCAAAAAGAUGGAGCAAUAACUGGAAAAGUAGGACAUUUUUUCAACUGUUUGUUUUUCAUUAAAAGCCCAGAUUAUGAGUUUGUACAACUAAUUUUAUUAUUCAAAAUGACUCAGCGGCCAAGGUCUCUGAGAUAAACUUCCAGUUCAUUGCACAUCAUGUGCUCUCCUGGGUUUGUUGGUUCAUUUAUUGGCUUGGUAAGCAGAUUUGUUGAGUCAAAAAUGGGUAUACUUCUGGGAUAAAGUUCAUGUUGAUCAACAUUUUGAUCUUUCCCCUGUUUAAUUUCUGUUCUUCCUCUUCUUGUCUCUAACUCCCUCUUCUGCCCCUGCAUGUCAUCCUCGAAAUUAUCCACCCACUCUCAGGCUCCAUCCAAUCAAAAUGCAGGAAAGCCUUGUGACUGUGACACAUCACUCUGUUUCCUCACAGAUGUUCACAGAGCAGAAACACACCCUUCAGAAUAAUGGAAGUGUUACCAGUUAUUCUGUGCUGGAGAAUAACGCAUAGCGCAUUCUUAACAAGUAAUGACAUGCUCAUUUAGUUGCCAAAUGGCUGAAUAAUCCAUUAACACUAAAAGACCGAAAGUCUGUCAUCUAAUUUAAUAUUCUCUUAAUGGUUUUGCUAGGCAUUUUUUAAUUGUUUUGUGUUAAUCUCCAUCCUCCAUUCUGUGUUGCAGACUGUAAUGGUGAGAAAAUAAAGUCAAUGUCAAACGAAA